rfam:Ictidomys tridecemlineatus contig030175, whole genome shotgun sequence.
GGGGUUGUGGCUCAGUGGUAGAGCACUCACCUAGCAUGUGUGACACCCUAGGUUCAAUCCUCAGUACCA